UACGAACCGUCCUAACGUUAUUCGGAAUCACUGGGCUUAAAGGGUGCGUAGGCGGUCCGGUAAGUUGGGUGUGAAAUCCCUCGGCUCAACCGAGGAAUUGCGCCCAAAACUGUCGGACUCGAGGGAGACAGAGGUGAGUGGAACUUAGGGUGGAGCGGUGAAAUGCGUUGAUAUCCUAAGGAACACCGGUGGCGAAAGCGACUCACUGGGUCUCUUCUGACGCUGAGGCACGAAAGCUAGGGGAG
rnacentral:rRNA from 1 species